rnacentral:rRNA from 1 species
AACGUAGGAGACAAACGUUAUCCGGAGUUACUGGGCGUAAAGGGCGUGUAGGCGGUUUGUUAAGUCUGGCGUGAAAGCUCUCGGCUAAACCGGGAGAGGUCGUUGGAUACUGGCAAACUAGAGGACGGUAGAGGCGUGUGGAAUUCCGGGUGUAGUGGUGAAAUGCGCAGAUAUCAGGAGGAACACCAAUGGCGAAGGCAGCUCGCUGGGACGGUACUGACGCUGAGGCGCGAAAGCGUGGGGAGCAAACAGG